GGACGAUGAAAAAGCAACUAACUCUCCGACCCGAGGAGCUAGGAAAAGGUGGGAAAAUUAGAAAGUCUGGCGCGCGGGCGCGCGCGUUUAAAAUUGAAAAGGCAAAGUGUGUCGCGUGUGUCGGCGGCAACCUUCGGGCGAACGUUUUCGCGGGAGAGGGAAACGCAAAUAGCCGGCCAAAUUUGCAGCCGGUGGCGGCCGGUACGAAAAUAACCGCCGAGGGUGGACUUCGCCGCGAAUGGGGCGGCUCGUAAAUAAUUAGUAUCGGGCACGGGUAAAUGCAGAAGAAGAAAGGAGAGGCAUCCGGCCGCGGCCGAAUAUAGGAUGAAGAGGAGAGUCCAGAGUUUCAGCGCGCGAGGACGACGGGCAUACCCGUGAAGCAAACUGAAUUUUCAAUGGUGGGGCUGGAUCGAUGGAAAGGUUGACCCAGUAACCUGGAACCUGGUGCGCCGGUUAGUUUACGAACUGCAACCUCGAUCGAUCUGAAUGUGCUGGAUAUCCAAUCGCAAUUACAUUUCCACCACCUUCCACCACCUUCCGGCCACAACCAGCCAGCAGCAUUUGCUUUUUUCCCUUCUCCUGUUUGUUGCGCCCUACUUCUAAUUAGCAGCCAUCGAUAAGAUUCACUCUGUUGAUACGAACGAUUUUCGUACUUGAAAUCCUUUUAAGGGACUAGAGAGAGAGAGAGAGAGAAAGAGAGAGAGGAUGUAUCGU